AGGACGAACGCUGGCGGCGUGCUUAACACAUGCAAGUCGAGCGGUGAUCCUCCUUCGGGAGGUGAUCAGCGGCGAACGGGUGAGUAACACGUGGGCAACCUGCCCCUCACACUGGGAUAGCCUCGGGAAACCGGGGCUAAUACCGGAUACGACCUCGAGCGGCAUCUCUUGAGGUGGAAAGCUCCGACGGUGAGGGAUGGGCCCGCGGCCUAUCAGCUUGUUGGUGGGGUAAUGGCCUACCAAGGCGACGACGGGUA
rnacentral:rRNA from 1 species